rnacentral:rRNA from 1 species
GACAGAGGUGCCGAGCGUUAGGCGGAAUCACUGGGCUUAAAGCGUGUGUAGGCGGAUGCCUAAGUACCUUGUGAAAUCCCUCGGCUUAACCGGGGAACUGCAUCUGAUACUGGAUGGCUUGAGUUCGGGAGAGGGAUGCGGAAUUCCAGGUGUAGCGGUGAAAUGCGUAGAUAUCAGGAGGAACACCGAUGGCGAAGGCAGGUCUCUGGGCUGACACUGACGCUCAUGCACGAAAGCGUGGGGAGCAAACAGG